CUCUCCCCCAACACCGUCCCCUCUCCCCAACCCCUCACAGCCUGCGCGCGCGCGGAGACGCCUCAGAAUCUCUUUAAAAUGGACGUAGAAGACUGCAAUGGCCGCUCCUAUAUGUCUGGUAGCGGGGACUCAUCUCUGGAGAAGGAGUUCCUCGGGGCCCCAGUGGGGCCCUCGGUGAGCACCCCCAACAGCCAGCACUCUUCUCCCAGCCGCUCACUCAGUGCCAACUCCAUCAAGGUGGAGAUGUACAGCGAUGAGGAGUCAAGCAGACUGCUGGGGCCAGAUGAGCGGCUCCUGGAAAAGGACGACAGCGUGAUUGUGGAAGAUUCAUUGUCUGAGCCCUUGGGCUACUGUGAUGGGAGUGGGCCAGAGCCUCACUCCCCUGGGGGCAUCCGGCUGCCCAAUGGCAAGCUCAAGUGUGACGUCUGCGGCAUGGUCUGUAUUGGACCCAACGUGCUCAUGGUGCACAAGCGCAGUCACACUGGUGAAAGGCCCUUCCAUUGCAACCAGUGUGGUGCCUCCUUCACCCAGAAGGGGAACCUGCUGCGCCACAUCAAGCUGCACUCUGGGGAGAAGCCCUUUAAAUGUCCCUUCUGCAACUAUGCCUGCCGCCGGCGUGAUGCACUCACUGGUCACCUCCGCACACACUCAGUCUCCUCUCCCACAGUGGGCAAACCCUACAAGUGUAACUACUGU
rnacentral:sRNA from 1 species